rnacentral:SRP_RNA from 1 species
GGCGGGCCUCCCCGCAUGGCUAAGUCGUGAAUCGGGUCAGGUCCGGAAGGAAGCAGCCACAGCGAUCCAUGCCAGUGCCGGGGUUCUGGCUCGCCAUUC